rnacentral:rRNA from 1 species
CCCUUAGAUGUCCGGGGCCGCACGCGCGCUACACUGAAGGAAUCAGCGUGGCUUUCUCCCUGACCCGAAAGGGUUGGGAAACCCGUUGAAUCUCCUUCGUGAUAGGGAUUGGGGCUUGAAAUUGUUCCCCAUGAACGAGGAAUUCCCAGUAAGCGCGAGUCAUAAGCUCGCGUUGAUUACGUCCCUGCCCUUUGUACACACCGCCCGUCGCUACUACCGAUUGAACGGUUUAGUGAGGGCCUCGGAUUGGUCUCGGCCCGCUCUUUACCGGGCGGCGCCGUAGGUCGAGAAGACGCUCGAACUUGAUCGUUUAGAGGAAGUAAAAGUCGUAACA